rnacentral:rRNA from 1 species
GAAACCCAGUGUGAUUCGUCACACUAUCAUUAACUGAAUCCAUAGGUUAAUGAGGCGAACCGGGGGAACUGAAACAUCUAAGUACCCCGAGGAAAAGAAAUCAACCGAGAUUCCCCCAGUAGCGGCGAGCGAACGGGGAGGAGCCCAGAGCCUGAAUCAGCAUGUGUGUUAGUGGAAGCGUCUGGAAAGGCGCGCGAUACAGGGUGACAGCCCCGUACACAAAAGCGCAUGUGCUGUGAGCUCGAUGAGUAGGGCGGGACACGUGGUAUCCUGUCUGAAUAUGGGGGGACCAUCCUCCAAGGCUAAAUACUCCUGACUGACCGAUAGUGAACCAGUACCGUGAGGGAAAGGCGAAAAGAACCCCGGCGAGGGGAGUGAAAAAGAACCUGAAACCGUGUACGUACAAGCAGUGGGAGCACCCUUUGGGUGUGACUGCGUACCUUUUGUAUAAUGGGUCAGCGACUUAUAUUCUGUAGCAAGGUUAACCGAAUAGGGGAGC